rnacentral:rRNA from 1 species
AUUGAACGCUGGCGGCAUGCCUUACACAUGCAAGUCGAACGGUAACAGGUUAAGCUGACGAGUGGCGGACGGGUGAGUAAUAUAUCGGAACGUGCCCAGUCGUGGGGGAUAACGUAGCGAAAGCUACGCUAAUACCGCAUACGAUCUACGGAUGAAAGCGGGGGAUCGCGAGACCUCGCGCGAUUGGAGCGGCCGAUAUCAGAUUAGGUUGUUGGUGAGGUAAAAGCUCACCAAGCCUGCGAUCUGUAGCUGGUCUGAGAGGACGACCAGCCACACUGGAACUGAGACACGGUCCAGACUCCUACGGGAGGCAGCAGUGGGGAAUUUUGGACAAUGGACGCAAGUCUGAUCCAGCAAUGCCGCGUGCAGGACGAAGGCCUUCGGGUUGUAAACUGCUUUUGUACGGAACGAAACGGUGAGCUCUAAUACAGUUUGCUAAUGACGGUACCGUAAGAAUAAGCACCGGCUAACUACGUGCCAGCCGCCGCGGUAA